rnacentral:rRNA from 1 species
UGCAAGUCGAACGAAGCGAGAGGAGCUUGCUCCUUAAGCUUAGUGGCGGACGGGUGAGUAACGUGUGGGCAACCUGCCUUUUACAGGGGAAUAAUCACUGGAAACGGUGACUAAUACCGCAUACGAUCUUCGGAAGGCAUCUUCUGGAGAGGAAAGGAGCAAUCCGGUAAAAGAUGGGCCCGCAUCUGAUUAGCUAGUUGGUGAGAUAAUAGCCCACCAAGGCAACGAUCAGUAGCCGACCUGAGAGGGUGAUCGGCCACAUUGGGACUGAGACACGGCCCAAACUCCUACGGGAGGCAGCAGUGGGGAAUAUUGCACAAUGGGGGAAACCCUGAUGCAGCAACGCCGCGUGAAGGAAGAAGGUUUUCGGAUCGUAAACUUCUAUCAAUAGGGACGAAAAAAUGACGGUACCUAAAUAAGAAGCCCCGGCUAACUACGUGCCAGCAGCCGCGGUAAUACGUAGGGGGCAAGCGUUAUCCGGAAUUACUGGGUGUAAAGGGAGCGUAGGCGGCAUGGUAAGUAAGAUGUGAAAGCCCGAGGCUUAACCUCGAGGAUUGCAUUUUAAACUAUCAAGCUAGAGUACAGGAGAGGAAAGCGGAAUUCCUAGUGUAGCGGUGAAAUGCGUAGAUAUUAGGAAGAACACCAGUGGCGAAGGCGGCUUUCUGGACUGAAACUGACGCUGAGGCUCGAAAGCGUGGGGAGCGAACAGGAUUAGAUACCCUGGUAGUCCACGCCGUAAACGAUGAGUGCUAGGUGUCGGGGAGGAAUCCUCGGUGCCGCAGUUAACACAAUAAGCACUCCACCUGGGGAGUACGACCGCAAGGUUGAAACUCAAAGGAAUUGACGGGGGCCCGCACAAGCGGUGGAGCAUGUGGUUUAAUUCGAAGCAACGCGAAGAA